GUGGGGAAUAUUGGACAAUGGGCGCAAGCCUGAUCCAGCCAUGCCGCGUGAGUGAUGAAGGCCUUAGGGUUGUAAAGCUCUUUCACCGGUGAAGAUAAUGACGGUAACCGGAGAAGAAGCCCCGGCUAACUUCGUGCCAGCAGCCGCGGUAAUACGAAGGGGGCUAGCGUUGUUCGGAAUUACUGGGCGUAAAGCGCACGUAGGCUGAUAUUUAAGUCAGGGGUGAAAUCCCGGGGCUCAACCCCGGAACUGCCUUUGAUACUGGGUAUCUUGAGUAUGGAAGAGGUCAGUGGAAUUGCGAGUGUAGAGGUGAAAUUCGUAGAUAUUCGCAGGAACACCAGUGGCGAAGGCGGCUGACUGGUCCAUUACUGACGCUGAGGUGCGAAAGCGUGGGGAGCAAACAGGAUUAGAUACCCGAGUAGUCC
rnacentral:rRNA from 1 species